UACGAAGGGGGCUAGCGUUGUUCGGAAUUACUGGGCGUAAAGCGUGCGCAGGCGGCUUCCCAAGUCAGUGGUGAAAGCCCGGAGCUCAACUCCGGAACUGCCAUUGAAACUGUGAAGCUCGAGGACGAGAGAGGUGAGUGGAAUUCCCAGUGUAGAGGUGAAAUUCGUAGAUAUUGGGAAGAACACCGGUGGCGAAGGCGGCUCACUGGCUCGUUUCUGACGCUCAUGCACGACGGCGUGGGGAUCAAACAGG
rnacentral:rRNA from 1 species